CGUUUUCAGAAUCCAGGGGAAUGAGGAAGAGAAGAAACUGCAAUAUAAUUCAGAGGCUAAAGACCUGAAAAGUGGGGUACAAUGAAGAGGGGAACUGAACUCCGUACUUGAGGAGGCAGAAACAAUUCCAUUUUCAUUUACUUGUCCAUCACAAGUUUUGAUUUACCAUCACUAGUGACAUCCUUGACAUUGCCAGCAUGAUGUUGUGCUGCCGAGCUGUUAACCUUGGGAAAGUUCUGAACAAUGACAGCAAAGGGGUGUCUUGGGUGUUGAUUCAUUAUCUUUGCACUUUGUU